rnacentral:rRNA from 1 species
UACGUAGGGGGCAAGCGUUGUCCGGAUUUAUUGGGCGUAAAGAGCGUGUAGGCGGCUUUACAGGUCCGUUGUGAAAACUCGAGGCUCAACCUCGAGACGCCGGUGGAAACCGUAAAGCUAGAGUCCGGAAGAGGAGAGUGGAAUUCCUGGUGUAGCGGUGAAAUGCGCAGAUACCAGGAAGAACACCCGUGGCGAAGGCGGCUCUCUGGGACGGUACUGACGCUGAGACGCGAAAGCGUGGGGAGCGAACAGG